rnacentral:sRNA from 1 species
AUCGGCACUGCUGGUUGAGCGUCCCACCCAAAUUCGCGGAGGCUCGCGGUUCCGAUCAUCGCUUCAAACUGUUGACCACGGAUGUACUGGCAGGGGUGAGUUAGCGAAUAGGGAAGGUCGGUGCGAAUUUCGCCCCGGCCUUUUUUGUU